GUAACAACCAAGAAGA
rnacentral:sRNA from 1 species